AUGCACGCUGGCGGCGUGCCUCAUACAUGCAAGUCGCGCGAACAGACGAGGAGCUUGCUCCUCUGACGUUAGCGGCGGACGGGUGAGUAACACGUGGAUAACCUACCUAUAAGACUGGGAUAACUUCGGGAAACCGGAGCUAAUACCGGAUAAUAUAUUGAACCGCAUGGUUCCAUAGUGAAAGACGGUUUUGCUGUCACUUAUAGAUGGAUCCGCGCCGCAUUAGCUAGUUGGUAAGGUAACGGCUUACCAAGGCGACGAUGCGUAGCCGACCUGAGAGGGUGAUCGGCCACACUGGAACUGAGACACGUUCCAGACUCCUACGGGAGGCAGCAGUAGGGAAUCUUCCGCAAUGGGCGAAAGCCUGACGGAGCAACGCCGCGUGAGUGAUGAAGGUCUUCGGAUCGUAAAACUCUGUUAUUAGGGAAGAACAAAUGUGUAAGUAACUAUGCACGUCUUGACGGUACCUAAUCAGAAAGCCACGGCUAACUACGU
rnacentral:rRNA from 1 species